rnacentral:rRNA from 1 species
AGCGAACCUCGAAAACCGGUCCCAGUUCGGAUCGCGGGCUGCAACUCGCCCGCGUGAAGCCGGAGUUGCUAGUAAUCGCGGAUCAGAACGCCGCGGUGAAUGCGUUCCCGGGUCUUGUACACACCCGCCCGUCACACCAUGGAAGUCGGGGGCGCCCGAAGUCGGUCGAGGAAUAGGCUGCCUAAGGCGAAACCGAUGACUGGGGUGAAGUCGUAACAAGGUAAC